AUUGAACGCUGGCGGCAGGCUUAACACAUGCAAGUCGAGCGGGGUGAUGGUGCUUGCACUAUCACUUAGCGGCGGACGGGUGAGUAAUGCUUAGGAAUCUGCCUAUUAGUGGGGGACAACAUCUCGAAAGGGAUGCUAAUACCGCAUACGUCCUACGGGAGAAAGCAGGGGAUCACUUGUGACCUUGCGCUAAUAGAUGAGCCUAAGUCGGAUUAGCUAGUUGGGGGGGUAAAGGCCUACCAAGGCGACGAUCUGUAGCGGGUCUGAGAGGAUGGUCGGCCACACUGGGACUGAGACACGGCCCAGACUCCUACGGUAGGAAGCAGUGGGGAAUAUUGGACAAUGGGGGGAACCCUGAUCCAGCCAUGCCGCGUGUGUGAAGAAGGCCUUAUGGUUGUAAAGCACUUUAAGCGAGGAGGAGGCUCUUUUGGUUAAUACCCAGAAUGAGUGGACGUUACUCGCAGAAUCAGCACCGGCUAACUCUGUGCCAGCCGCCGCUGUAA
rnacentral:rRNA from 1 species